AGAUAUUAACUGGCAUCCCGGCAGAGGAGCCAGUAGGAUGAGGCCCCAGAAUAGGCUGAAGCCAAGUUGUAGCAAACGCCAAGGUGUUCAUCCUGUGAUCAAAGAGGAGCUGCUUAAGGUCGGUGAGCUGAGCUGAGGGCAUUAAGAUGGAGAGUGUUGGCGUGUACGGAUUCUGUGGGUGUAAAGCAAAGAACAAAAUGAAGUGUGAUUCAAGGUGGGAAAUAGCCGCUUCAGCUCCCCCAGGCUGCAGCAGCUACCACACAAAGAAGCAGUCCUAUGGCAAUGACAGGACAUCUGUGUCCAGGAUUUGGAUUUGACGAACUGGCAGUUCCUGCAGGGAUGACGGUACUCCCUAGUUGUGUCUGAAUUGGACGCACCAGCACUUGAGCACACACAAACGCACGUGAACAGACGGAACAUGUUAUGGGCCUGUUAGCCAAGGAAUGACAGAAUUAAUCCAUGGGCAUUUGCGGCCAGUGUUGUGUUAAACUAAAGGGAAAAAGUGAACUGGAAAAAGCAAUGUUUGUUUUAUGAAAAUCUCAGACCCAAUCCUUAGGUGACAGUUCUGGAAAUGAGGGGUGUCUAAAACAAAGGGCAUCUGAAACUUCGGUUUUUCAGCUUCCUUUCCUUGUCUCAUGACCUCUUUCCUACCCGCUGCCUCUGUUUUCUCUAAUAUGGAACAGUGAAAAUGGGGGCCAGCAAAACAGAUUGCUGAUGUCUGUUGAUUUUAUCAAAGGAAGGUUAGAUUGAGUAAGAUGGCAUAAAUAAGCACACAUAGGACAAUACCUGGCAUAUAUCAGGUGCUCAAUAGCAGUGAAUUCUCUCCCUGCUGUCAUGAAUUCUUGAAGGUUGGAGACCAUGCGCUGUUCUGCGUGCCAAGUUAUUUUUUCGGCCUGAUAGCAGGUGAGCUACUGAGUGAAGACAGAGACUGGACGCUAAUUCAGCUCUGAAUCUUCAGCACCUGGCAUGGAAGGUGCACAGGACAUAUUUGAAAAAGGAGAAUUAAUAGAAUUGACCAAUAGGCUGACCUCCUGAAUGAUGACUGAGCAAAUUGAUCUAGAGGUAUUCAAAACAGUUUAGUUGACUGUCCCAAACUUUCUCAGACCUCUUCUGCCACUGACUUCCCUGAAAAGACCCUUUGCAGCCAGGCACGGUGGCUCAUGCCUGUAAUCCCAGCAUGUUGGGAGGCUGAGGUGGGCGGAUCACGAGGUCAAGAGAUUGAGACCAUCCUGGCCAACGUGGUGAAACCUCGUCUCUACUAAAAGUACAAAAAUUAGCUGGGUGUGGUGGCACGUGCUUGUAGUCCCAGCUAGUUGGGAGGCUGAGGCAGGAGAAUCGCUUGAACUGGGGAGGCGGAGGUUGUAGUGAACCAAGAUCAUGUCACUGCACUCCAGCCUGGCAAUAGAGCGAGACUCUGUCUCAAAAAAAAACCAAAAAAACAAAAUCAACCCUUUUGCAUUUUUGUCCUAUCCUGUUUUCCGUCCCCUUGAGACCGUAUCACACGUUCUUUUUCCUCUUUGGUGACCUUCUUUGUCUUUCUUGCUGCUCCUGUACACUGUUGUUUACUCACACUGCUUUUAUUCUGAGCUCUCAUAUCUCUUCUAUUUCUGGUUCUGACGCCUAUCUUGUCUAUGCCUCGCACACUCACCUCCGACUCGGAGUCCUGACCUGCACAGCUGCGAUUGCGGUUUGCACACUUUGAGGGUGAACAGUUGUCAUGCAGCCCUUUUGAGUGCUAAAAAGUGACCACUUAAGAUUUUCCUCGUGGUUAGGAAGAUGAGUAUUUUAAAAUCAUUCUGGAGGAGAUUAGUGGUAAAGAAAACCUUCCUCAGCAACUAAAUCAUUGUGGAAAAAUAAGCCAAUUAGUCACUAAAACAAAAACCUUUUGAAGACUUGUGAACAGAGGAAAGAACAUGUGAAUUACAGGUUUUCUGUUUUGUGGCAUUGAUAGACUCCAGUAGUAUUCAUGAUCGCUGAUCAUCGCGAUGGGGACCCCGGAAAGGUGAAAUUAUGUUCAGUUGAAUAUUACCUAACCCUUCUCAAAGGACAAUUUGAUUUUGUUAUUCCAUUGUUAAGGGCUUUUUGGUGGCCCUUCGAGAUCUGGCUCUGGCUUCUCUUUGACCUUGAACCCUCACUCUGGUUGUGCUGAUCUGCUGACCGUCCUCCGGACACGGUAGGGUGCUCCAUGCCACAGGGCCUUUGAACAAACCUUUCUUAUCCUUGGAAUAAAUGCCUUUUCUUCCUUUUGUUCCCCUGCCAAACACAUGCUAUUAGGAAAGAUUCAACCCCAUGUCAUCACCUCCACAAAGCUUCUCCUGACACCUCCCAAGUUAGAUUGACCUUUUUCUCUUUUGUGUCCCCCACUGUCGAACUUGAUGUUCUUGUCAAUGACAACAAUAGUGGUAACAAUGAUGGUUUCCUUUCAUUGAGUGCCUUUUGGUUCCAGUAAGUGUAAGUGCUUUCACUUGUUAUAUCAUUUAAGCCCUGCCACCCUAUGAAGAGGCCACUAUUAUACAUACAGUCAUGCAUUGCUUUAUGACAGGGAUAUGUUCUGAGAAAUGCAUUAUUAGGCAAUUUCAUCAUUGUGUGAACAUCAUAGAAUGUACUUCCACAAACCUAGAUGAUAUAGCCUGCCUCACAACUAAGCUAUUAUAUGCAGGACAGUCUGCUGCUAGCUGCUUCUAAGCUACAGACCAUAUAUAUGUAUAUAUGUACAUAUCCUCUCCCUGCCCCUCUUGCUCUUUAUAUAUAUAUGCAUAUACCUAUAAUAUAUGCAUAUUUAGAUAGGCUUUUAUAUGUAUAUUGUAUAUAUGUACAUAUAUACAUUUAUUUUUUGAGACAGGGUCUUGCUCUGUCUCCCAUGCUGGAGUGCAGUGGUAUGAUCACGGCUCACUGCAGCCAUGACCUCCCAGGCUCGAGGGAUCCUCCCAGCUCAGCCUCCCAAGUAGGUGGGACUACAGGCAUGCACCACCACAUCUGGCUAAUUUUUGAAUUUUUUUUUGUAGAGAUGGGGUUUCACCAUGUUGCCCGGUUCUCAAACUCCUAGGCUCGAGUAAUCCACCCAACUUUGCUCCCAAAGUGGUGGGAUUAUAGGUGUGAGCCACCGCAACCAGCCCAUAUAUGCAUAUUUAAUAUACAUGUGUAGCAUAUACAUACACAUAUACACAUCUAUGCAUAUAAAUUAACAAUAUGUAUAUAUGUGCAUAAAUUCACAUAUAUUUUCUGUAUAAAGACAGCAAGAGAGGCAGGCGGAGAAAGAAUCAGUUGCAGUCUGGAGGAAUAUACGUGUGUUACAUGGUUUCCCUGCCUUUAAAUUCUCUGUUAAUCUGUAUUCCUUGUAAAGUAGAUGACAGCAUGUAUCUUGGCCUACAUGUUUCUAAAGACAAACCUCUAAGCUCUUGAAGUUCUGCCAUGGUGUAUCAUAGUACAUUGAAGUCAGAAAGCCCAUUAGAGGAGGAGGAUGCCUGGCUAGAAUAGUGUUCUUGAGUUUUUCCAUGUGUAUUGUCUCAGGUAGGAAGAUGACAAGUCCUACUUUGUUCUUGUGUGAUUCCCCAUCAUUCAGUCUGUGGAGGCUGAGCUUGUUAAUGGUGGUGAACACGAGUUUCGUUCUUUGCCAGGAGUGCCCACCAGUGCCCAUAACGCCCUCCCGGAAUGUGCCGGGCAGUAUGUUUAGGGUAAGACUGACUAACGACCCAACACUGACAACGGCCUUAGCACAAACCCAAAAGGCUCUGCUAGAGCUCAGAGGCAGCCACGAGAUUGGGAGAGCUGGAUGACGGUUUGCUAAGAGAAUUCAAGCUGUCAGUCCUCCUGUGUAUCCUUUGGAUUCUGUUAUGCUGUUGCUUGUAGAGGGAAAAAGUUCAUGUGUCAUUUAUAUACAAGUGCCCAUUUGACAUUGAGUGAGUCACAUUUAUUUUACCCUAUAUGAACACAAAAUCUCUGUUUUAAAAUCAGAUUCUAGAACUUUAAAAGGGUUCUUAUGUAUUGUUCUGAAGUAACUCAGUGGCUCUUGGUGAGCCCGCCCCACCUGGCCUGUUGGGUGACCCUCUUCCUGCCCCCUCACCGGUUCUGCUCCUUGUUCCUCUCUCUGCGCCUUGGCUCCCCUUCCCAGAGCCCUUCCUCUUGGUCUUGCCAAAUCCUGCCCAUCCUUUGAGAAACGCUUAUGCCCAUGGCUGUCUUACCCCUUCCUGCUUUGCUGUGGUAUCCAUUAGUCUGUUCUCGCGCUGCUAAUAAAGACAUACAAAAGACUGGGUAAUUUAUAAAGGAAAGAGGUUUAAUGGACUCACAUUUCCACAUGGCUGGGGAGGCCUCACAAUCAUGGUGGAAGAUGAAGGAAGAGCAAAGGGACUUUUUAUGUGGCGGCAGGAAAGAGAGCUUGUGCAGGGAAACUCCCAUUUAUAAAACUGUCAGAUCUCAUGAGACUUAUUCACUACCAUGGGAACAGUAUGGGGGAAACUGCCCCCAUGAUUCAAUUAUCUCCACCUGGCCCUGCCCUUGACACGUGGGGGUUAUUACAAUUCAAGGUGAGAUUUGGGUGGGGACACAGCCAAAAUAUAUCUGGCAUAUGCAAUCUGAUCACCCCUUCCAAACUUCUCUCUUAAAAAUGCAACAUUCUGACAGCAUGUGGAGGCUUGGAUGGAAACACGGUAAAAAUUACAACAUUGUUUCUCACACUUUUGCACCAAAGUGAUACAAAUCGCAGAGCUGAGGCAACUGGUGUUUCUGCGAGAAUGGAAUGGAAUGUGGUUGAAAUUUUGUGUUGUUUUUUAAAUAUUUGCAACUAUUUGUCAUUCUUCCAUAAAAAUCAGAAUUCAUGGUUGUGUACAUAAAAGUAAUUUUCUAAAGUGUGCCUUUGUGUGUCCUUGAUGCAGGACCAGCUUGGACUUGUGACCUGUGCAGUCACACAAGGCCCUGCACGUGGUUUAAUGCUCCGCUGUCACCAUCUUGAAAUUCUUAAUACCUUGAACGAGGGGUCCUGUAUUUUUGUUUCAUGCUGGGCCCAGCAAAUUACAUAGGUGGUCCUCCCUUUGGGGUUCUGCAAGGCAACUAACUGUGAAGCAUGCAUCGAGUUACAGUUUUAAAUCUUAACAUGACUUCAUCUGUUAUGGCCUACCCAGGACAGUGCAGGAAGCUGGGUGCCCUUUAAGAAAGGAGUCUGGGCUGAAGGAGAUGGAGAGGUAGGAAGGGUUGGGGUCCUGAAUGCCAGCUUUGCCAGGGCCAUGCCUCGCAGCCAUGUCCUUCCUGCCUGUCUACCACAGGCCAGGAGGUGAACAGUCAUUCUGUAAUUCACAUGCAGUAAAGCUUUUUGAGAGUUCUGUUUUUCACCUGGAACUGCCAAGUCAUUUGGUGAAGAUUUCCUGCUUGUUUGAAGUCUGCAGAGAAAAACCGCUAAUGAAACAUACCACAUUUGGAAAUGAACUUUUUAAAGUAUGUAUCCAUAAGUUCUUAUUUCAGCUCUUCCUUUUAUUCUAUAAAUGCCUGUCUUAUUUCAAAAGGGACUUUCAGGCAGAGGUAUAACAACAUAAUAAGAACAAUACAUUUGAGAAACAGAACUGAAAAGAAACUAAGGCAAAGUCAGGGGUAAAAUUGGAUCACAAAUGCAUACCACGAGGUCUUACUGAAUUUAAAAUUUACAAAUGCCUGUAAGCUUCCCAGUCGCAGAACAAAGGAACACAAUUGGUCAUAUCUAUAUGCAGCAGGAGAAGGGUUGGGCGGACAGCAGCUCGCAACUUGGCUUCCACCGUCUGCCGCAGAGAAUUUAGAGGCGUCUUGGGAACAUGAGUGGGGCUAUCCAGGAAUCUGUUUACCUGAGGGACUAAGUCCUGUCCCUUGGACAUCCCCAAAUAGUCCAGAAUGAAGCUUUAUUUGGAGAAGAGGGGCAGUUCGGAGCACUUCAUGACGUCUUGUCACCCAGUUUGUCCCACAUCUGCCUUCAAACUGAGUGGGACUUGAGCAAACAACACCCAGAGCUUCACUCUUCCCCACCACUGCGCUGGCCCUGCGGUGUUGUGAGUUGGUGGCUCCAGUGACAUGGCAGUGGCGGUGAGCCUGGCGCUGGCAGUGUUGGUGACACUCACGUGGUGGUGGUGGCACCAGCACUGGCGGUGUCUGUACCAGCAGGAGAGGUAGCACCGACACCUCCAAAGUGGAUGCAGCAGCAUCACAGUGGCUACAGGUGCCAAUCGGCUGUAGUAGGUGUGGAGGCAGUGGCUGGGAGUGGCUCGCAGCAAGGGCGAGCUCUCUGGACAACUCCAUGGGUGACAGAAGCCUGGACACGGGAGACCUUGGGGAGCCUUAUCCAAGGAGGUGCUUGAGGCUCCCCCUUGAGGAAGACCUCUCCAUUGGUGGGGGAAUUUGGAGCCAAAGAAAGCUCCUUAUGUUGUCAAAAUGUCCCUUUUUUAACCUUAGGAUAUUGUGACCCCUGAAGGUAUUAAUGAUAUUCUAGAGCAUUUGAAAGACAACAGCCAACUAGCUGGUUAAGCGCAGCUCAGUUUUUCCCCAGUGUGUGUGGGUGGCUGAGCACACAUUCAUUAAUUCAGUGAUUCAUUCAGCCAACAUCUGCGGAACCCCUGCUGGCUUCUGGAGUCAGAUUGCGGGGAUCUGAAUCGGGCUUGCCACUUACUAGUCUAUGACCUCGAGCAAAUGACGUGAUUCCUCUAAUACCCAGUUUCCCCAUCUGUAAUAUGAAAUGUGAAUACUAAGUAUCCGCCUCAUUGGGUUUUAGGAGAAUCAAAUGCAUGUCAAGUGUUUAACAUGGUGCCUGGCACAGAUUAAACAUCCAAGAAGUGUGAGUUAUGAUUAAAGGCUGUGAAAUGUACAAAGAGCCACAUAGUCCCCCAUUCAUUCAAGCAUUUUCUGUCCAUAUAAGGAAAUGCUACAUAGCCCAACUCCAGAAGGCUACACAUUAACUGGGGGUAUCACACAGUAGAGAAAUUAUGGGUGAUUUGAUUUGAUUAUUUAUCUGCUUUUUAGGAAUUUUCCAGUGUAUGUGAACUGUUUGUGAGAUCUUAAAACAGAAAGAAAAGCAACCCCAUUUGCCCUUCCCUUUGGUACUUCUGUGACACCCGUGUCGUCCAUCAGUUCCCAUGCAGGCAGGGGCGGUGACACUCACGCAUCUGUAGAUGGCUCAGACUCUCAGAAACUUCUUUCUUAGAGGAUCUGCUUGUAGUUUCUGGCUUUUACGUUUCAUUCAUUAUUCAUUCAUUCGUUCAUUCAAGAAAUACUUAUUAAGCACCUCUUGUCUGCCAGGCACAUUGAUAAGUUCUGGUGAGUGAAAGCCAAUGGCUCCCUUGAAGGAGCUGGUAAUUUAUCAGGGUUCUCAGACUGUCAUCCAAUAAUUAAAUAAAUAUGUCACGACAGAUGGAAGUGAGAUGAAGGCAAGGAACUUGGUGCUGUGAAGGUGGACAGCAGAGAUGAAGGUGGAGGGAGGCGGGGGAGGCUUCCCUGGGAGGUGACGGGAAAGCUGAGCUGUGAAGGUGCAUAGGAGUUAUUGGGUGUGUGUGGGGGUGGGGCAUGUGCGGUCCAGACAGAGGAGCAGAGUCGACUUCGGGGCCACACAGAGAAUGGAAUUCCCUUUCCAUGUGACAGCCCUUCACACAUCUGUAGGUGGCUUCUCCCCGGAAGCCUUUCUGUUGUAUUCCUGCCUUCUUCAGCUUUUCUGCCUAGGAUGUGGUUUCACAGCCUGUUUUCAUUCUGAGAUCCAGUUUGUUCGUAUCCUUCUUUUUCGAUAACAAUUUUAUUGAGCUAUAAUCCACAUGCAGUACAAUUCACUCAAAGUGUAUAAUUCAAUGAUUUUUAAUAUAUCACAGAAUUGUGCAACCAUCACCAUGAUCAAUUUUAGAACAUUUUCAUCACCCCAAAAAGAAACCCUUAUACCCAUUAGCAGCAGCCACUCCUCGUUUCCCCCACCAAUCCCAGCCCUGGGAAACCAUUAGUUGCUUUUGGUCACUAUAGAUACACCUGUUCUGGGCAUUUUUUAUAAAUGGAAUCAUACAGGAUGCAUUCUUUUGUUUAACUGCUUCUUUCGUUUAGCAUAAUGUUUUUAAGGUUCAUCCAUGUUGUAGCAUGUAUCAGUACUUUGUUUGUUUGUUUGUUUUUGAGACAGAGUCUCACUCUGU
rnacentral:lncRNA from 1 species